UACGAAGGGGGCUAGCGUUGCUCGGAAUCACUGGGCGUAAAGCGCACGUAGGCGGCUUACUAAGUCAGACGUGAAAUCCCUCGGCUUAACCGGGGAACUGCGUCUGAUACUGGAUGGCUUGAGUUCGGGAGAGGGAUGCGGAAUUCCAGGUGUAGCGGUGAAAUGCGUAGAUAUCUGGAGGAACACCGGUGGCGAAGGCGGCAUCCUGGACCGAUACUGACGCUGAGGAGCGAAAGCUAGGGGAGCAAACGGG
rnacentral:rRNA from 1 species